GAUGAACGCUGGCGGCGUGCUUAACACAUGCAAGUCGAACGGUGAACACGGAGCUUGCUCUGUGGGAUCAGUGGCGAACGGGUGAGUAACACGUGAGCAACCUGCCCCUGACUCUGGGAUAAGCGCUGGAAACGGCGUCUAAUACUGGAUAUGUGACGUGACCGCAUGGUCUGCGUUUGGAAAGAUUUUUCGGUUGGGGAUGGGCUCGCGGCCUAUCAGCUUGUUGGUGAGGUAAUGGCUCACCAAGGCGUCGACGGGUAGCCGGCCUGAGAGGGUGACCGGCCACACUGGGAUUGAGACACGGCCCAGACCCCUACGGGAGGCAGCAGUGGGGAAUAUUGCACAAUGGGCGAAAGCCUGAUGCAGCAACGCCGCGUGAGGGAUGACGGCCUUCGGGUUGUAAACCUUUUUUAGCAGGGAAGAAGCGAAAGUGACGGUACCUGCAGAAAAAGCGCCGGCUAACUACGUG
rnacentral:rRNA from 1 species